UGGGGAAUAUUGCACAAUGGGCGAAAGCCUGAUGCAGCAACGCCGCGUGAGUGAUGAAGGCCUUCGGGUUGUAAAGCUCUGUCUUUUGGGACGAUAGUGACGGUACCAAAGGAGGAAGCCACGGCUAACUACGUGCCAGCAGCCGCGGUAAUACGUAGGUGGCAAGCGUUGUCCGGAUUUACUGGGCGUAAAGGAUGCGUAGGCGGAUUUUUAAGUGAGAUGUGAAAUACCCGGGCUUAACUUGGGUGCUGCAUUUCAAACUGGGAAUCUAGAGUGCGGGAGAGGAGAAUGGAAUUCCUAGUGUAGCGGUGAAAUGCGUAGAGAUUAGGAAGAACACCAGUGGCGAAGGCGAUUCUCUGGACCGUAACUGACGCUGAGGCAUGAAAGCGUGGGUAGCAAACAGGAUUAGAUACCCUGGUAGUCCACGCCGUAAACGAUGAGUACUAGGUGUAGGAGGUAUCGACCCCUUCUGUGCCGCAGUUAACACAAUAAGUACUCCGCCUGGGAAGUACGAUCGCAAGAUU
rnacentral:rRNA from 1 species